GCAGGUGUGGUGUCAAUGGCAACACAGCAGUCUUGUAAACUGCCUAUGCGAGUUCAAAUCUCGCCAUCUGCU
rnacentral:tRNA from 1 species